UACGUAGGCAGCGAGCGUUGUUCGGAAUUACUGGGCGUAAAGAGUGUGUAGGCGGUGCUCUAAGUUCGGUGUGAAAUCUCCCGGCUUAACUGGGAGGGUGCGCCGGAAACUGGAGUGCUCGAGCGUGGGAGAGGAAAGCGGAAUUCCUGGUGUAGCGGUGAAAUGCGUAGAUAUCGGGAAGAACACCUAUGGCGAAGGCAGCUCUCUGGGACGGUACUGACGCUGAGACGCGAAAGCGUGGGGAGCGAACAGG
rnacentral:rRNA from 1 species